AGUGAACGCUGGCGGUAGGCCUAACACAUGCAAGUCGAACGGCAGCACAGUAAGAGCUUGCUCUUACGGGUGGCGAGUGGCGGACGGGUGAGGAAUACAUCGGAAUCUACUUUUUCGGGGGGGAUAACGUAGGGAAACUUACGCUAAUACCGCAUACGACCUACGGGUGAAAGCAGGGGAUCUUCGGACCUUGCGCGAUUGAAUGAGCCGAUGUCGGAUUAGCUAGUUGGCGGGGUAAAGGCCCACCAAGGCGACGAUCCGUAGCUGGUCUGAGAGGAUGAUCAGCCACCCUGGAACUGAGACACGGUCCAGACUCCUACGGGAGGCAGCAGUGGGGAAUAUUGGACAAUGGGCGCAAGCCUGAUCCAGCCAUACCGCGUGGGUGAAGAAGGCCUUCGGGUUGUAAAGCCCUUUUGUUGGGAAAGAAAAGCAGCAGGUUAAUACCCCGCUGUUCUGACGGUACCCAAAGAAUAAGCACCGGCUAACUUCGUG
rnacentral:rRNA from 1 species